AUUUGAUUUAUUCAAAUAUAAACAGUGCCAUUGUUUCCGAGGGUAACGCGACAUCGAUAGAGACGAAUAACCUCAUUCCAUUCCCAAACGAGAUUAUUGCAAGCGAACGCAAUUAAAUUAAUCGAAUUAUCAACGAUAAGACAUUUCAAGAAGAAGAAAUUAGCUAAUCAUUGAAUGGUUCCACUGAGAUUUCAGAAAAGAUCUGCUUAUGUCUGCUCCAACCAAUAAGUUGUCCAGCCGCCUACGACCUUCUAUCCAUCUAACAUCGCAUCAACAGGUUUGACGUGGUUAUUAGCGACGACUGCUAGGAGUGGAGAAUACAAAGUGGUUAAAUCUCGUUAUGUAGUCUGUCAACAUUAUUCUUAAUCAUAAAACUGUUUCCAUUUGUGCAUGGAUUAUAGUUUUUUUUUUUUUU